GUUUAGACAUAUGUGUCUUUCCUUUAAAGAUUAGAGCGUAUAUCACUGUGCAAGAUUCCUGCAUCUAAAGUAACAAGCAAAGGGGUUUAAUGGAACUGCACUUUGCAAUAAAAAGACACAGCCUCUUGUGAGUGAUGAUAUUUCAUCAAGUGGGACCAGGUGCAGGAUGUAUUAGUCAUAAAGAAACAAAAUUACAAUCUUUUUGCCUUCCAGCCAUCCUGUUUUUAAUACUCACUGCUCUCUUUGACCUAGGUGUGAGGCAAUUUUACUUCUACAGAAAGUAAAGUUGAAUUAGAAGUUUUUGGGAAGGAGUUGUGGGUGAAAGCUGGAGGUGAAACCAUCAGCUGUAUGAAACAUUGAUGAUGACUUGGUAAUGGAGUUCCGUUUUGAAGACUAAUUGCCAUAUUGGAAAUAUGACUCAACUUCACUUUCCAUCAACCUGAAUGAAGCAGAGGUAGAGUUGAGGUGGACCUUUAGCCACCCUGUGCUUGCUUGUCAGUCUAGCCCCCACACAUCUGCUUUUCUGCAUCAGCUUCACCUCGGCCAUUUGGGGAAAACACAUCUUUCCAGUGAGGGUUAGCAAAGAGGAAUGCAGCUAGUUGGCUUUAAGUGGCAAAGAAUGGAUAUCACUGACUUGAGAUGGAUGGGACUCAAGCAGUUGAAGAUACAUGAAUGGGGGGUGCCACUGGGAAGAAUGCAAGACGGUAGGAGAGGAUUGGGGUCCCUGGUCUUCAGUGAGGUAAUAAGGAGGUCAGUAGUUGACACCAGUUGAAGGUGAAUGGUGGGGGAUCAAUGGAGGUCAAUUGCCAUGAUUAUCAGUAGCAAGUGCCACAGGCAGAUGGAGGUCAGUGGCUCGGAAUCAAUGCAAUUAGGUAACAAGAAUUGGCUCGAGCAAUGAGAGGAAGUAGGACUAGAUGGGAGUCUGUAGCUGUAAAUUGAUUGGCUUCAACUGUUGCUAUGAAAUAUCAUGCUUUUCUCAUGUUGAUACCAAGCAACUUUCAGCCUUGAGAACUGAACCUGAUGCAGAGGUGCUAAAAACAGCAGUUCUCCAAGAGUCCACAUGGGGCCAGCUCCAAAAGUCUCUGAAGCCACAUACACACCCAUUCGAAGCAGAUCAUCUUUAUGGCAAAAACAUACAUGUUGACAGCCUGGUUCAAAAUGACUCUUCUGAUUCAGUAGACUGUAGCUGUUAGCAAAGAAGCUAAAGGGCCGCCUCACCUCCGUCUCUUUACCUCUUACCACCUCUACAGUCUACGGUUGUCACACAAAGUUACUUAACGUGUCUGUUAAAGGGUCAUGAGAGCUCUGGCUGUGCAAUGGGGCUGUAGUUAGUGUGAUAUCUUCUCACGAGACUCAGGGUCUCCGGUGACACCCCUGUUUGUGUAAGUCGUCAAUGACCAGGGCUUGGUUGCUGAAAACUUGUGAUGGUCAAUAGCUUAGGAUGGAUGACAGACAGUAAGAAGGAAAUCAUGAAGGUCAGUGGCAAGGGCUUCUUGAAGAUCAUGGGUAAUGAGAGGAUGAAGUCAGUAAAGGAAUAUAAGUCGAGGUCAGUUGUUUGAAAUUACAGGUCAGUGACCAGGACUGAGAAAUGAAUGUAAAUCAGGAUUGCCGAGUCCCUGGAGGCUAAGAAAAAGACAAAGGGGUUUGGUAUGAAUGGAUAAAAGUCAAGAGACAGGAAAAGAUUGAGUUCAGAAGCAAGUGAUAGAUGGUGGGAAUGAGUGAUGGGUGUGAAUGGAGCUCGGAAGGUCAGUGUCUUUAAUUCAGGGGUGCUCAGUGAUGGGAAAUCAAUAAAGGAAUGGAUGGAGGCUGGUUGUCUUUGGUAACCAGGAAUGGAUAAGUGUUGGUGGUGAUAAGUUUGGAAAAAGCGGCUGGUGGCUAAGAACUCAUGGAGAUAACAGGCUAAAGUGGACGGAGGUGGAAAUCAUCAGGGUAUGCGCACACAUGAAUGGGGCUAAGUCCUUUUAGAUAGAGGAAGUAAAUGGCCCAGAAUAGAUGGAGGUGUGUAGAUGGAAAUGGGUGGAGGUCAGUAGCAAAAGAGAUGGAAGUCAGUAGUUAUGUAUAGACAGAGGUCGGUGGCUAGGAAUGGAGGCAGCCAUGAAUCAGUGGUGCUUGUCAUUCAAUCAAUGGAGAAUCGUGGGUAAGAGUCUAUGAAGGAGAGCUGCAAGGAAUGGAUGGAGGUCAGUGGCUAAAAUUACAGAGUCUAGAGGCUAAAAACAGAUGAAGGUUGGUGGCUUUACUGACAAUGAUCAUAGAGAUGCUACAUUUAAAAGGUCAUUGCUGGGAAAGUUUCAGAUGAUAGGUUGUACUUGAGGAAAGAUGGAUUAGGACUGCAGUUAGUUAUUAUCACACAUACACAGCUGCUUCAGGAACAAAGAGGCUGAGGCACAGACUUUUGUGUGAUAUAAAUUUGCUCUGGGACUAGCCUAUUUUUAGUGUAUAGCCUAAUUUAGGAUUAAUGAGGCCAGUUUUCAGGGUUUGGUUGUCCCAGCGGGUCUGCUCCUUAGUGCUGUAGAAAAGUCUUUGUUAGGGACUCUGGUUGGCCAGUGAGUGGAUUAGGUCCUUUGAAGCUGUAAUUAUGUGGCAUUACUAUUAUGGUAUCUCAGUCAACUAACCUCCAAUCAUUGAAGAAGAAAAAAGAGGGGUCACAUAAUCUUUCAGGAAAACCCUUUGUAUGUAACUGACAUGCAGUUGUAGUUAAAAUGUUAUAUGUUGACCCACCAGGCGUUCCCAAGCAUAUAAUACAUCUAAAAUACCACUGCAGGUUCCAACUUUUGCAGCUAUUAAUGAUUUUCAGGAUUUUUAUGUUCAUUGAUUUUAUAUUCAUGUUUUUUUAACUGUUUGACAGUAUUUUUUUUUUGGAUAUGAUUAAAAGUUGGUGAGUUGUAAAAUUAAAUUGAACCAAAUCUGCUGAAGAAAUUGUCUCCUUUAUCUUUUCAGAAAUAAAUGUCUUUCAGUCUAGGAUCACAGCAGUGUUGUUUCCCAGAAUGCACCUUCCACCACUGCAGAACAUCUUGGACCCAUCCAUUCCUUUGCAUUGAGAUUGCAUACAGUUCACAUCCCUGUAUUUUGAAUUGGACCUUCUCUCCUGAUGAGAUGCAAAAAUCACUGCCAUCUUUUCAUUUAUAUGGCUCUUUUGGGAAAAUUACCCUCUUAUCUGACUGAACUUCUUAAUUUGUUGGAUGGGUUUUAUCAGGCACGCUCCUGAAGCUGCUUUUAAAUGCCCUUUUUAUCCUGAACCUGACUCAUACAUCAGCUCCUUAAAAUCAAUGAACUUUUAGUUUCUGCACAAUUUGAAAAACUGUAAUUUAAAUCUCUCAACCCCGGUGAUUAUUUGCUCAAGUGUAUCUUUUUGUCACCAUUUUAAUUAUUCACCAGUCUGAUUGAUUUUAGCUCAUUUUGAAUAAGUAAAUCCUUAGUGAGUUUAAUGGCCUUGUAUCGAUCCUUAUUCUUGUUCUUAUAAUUGCUUAUGUUGCUGACUUCAUAUCACUGUAUCAUUGUUCCUCAAUGAUUACUAUAAAUAAAGGAUGACUGAUCCA